UACGGAGGGUGCAAGCGUUAUCCGGAUUUACUGGGUUUAAAGGGUGCGUAGGCGGGUCUUUAAGUCAGUGGUGAAAACUUCGAGCUUAACUCGAAAACUGCCAUUGAUACUAUUGAUCUUGAAUUUAGUUGAGGUUGGCGGAAUGUGUCGUGUAGCGGUGAAAUGCUUAGAUAUGACACAGAACACCGAUUGCGAAGGCAGCUGGCUAAACUAAAAUUGACGCUGAGGCGCGAAAGCGUGGGGAGCAAACAGG
rnacentral:rRNA from 1 species